GACGAACGCUGGCGGCGUGCUUAACACAUGCAAGUCGAGCGCUGAAGCCUCUUUGGGGGUGGAUGAGCGGCGAACGGGUGAGUAAUACAUCGGAACGUGCCCAGUCGUGGGGGAUAACGUAGCGAAAGCUACGCUAAUACCGCAUACGAUCUGUGGAUGAAAGCGGGGGACCGUAAGGCCUCGCGCGAUUGGAGCGGCCGAUGUCAGAUUAGGUAGUUGGUGGGGGUAAAAGGCCCACCAAGCCGACGAUCUGUAGCUGGUCUGAGAGGACGACCAGCCACACUGGGACUGAGACACGGCCCAGACUCCUACGGGAGGCAGCAGUGGGGAAUUUGGACAAUGGGCGCAAGCCUGAUCCAGCAAUGCCGCGUGCAGGAUGAAGGCCUU
rnacentral:rRNA from 1 species